rnacentral:rRNA from 1 species
UACGUAGGGGGCAAGCGUUGUCCGGAUUUAUUGGGCGUAAAGAGCGUGUAGGCGGCCAGGGAGGUCCGUUGUGAAAACUCGAGGCUCAACCUCGAGACGCCGAUGGAAACCCCCUGGCUAGAGUCCGGAAGAGGAGAGUGGAAUUCCUGGUGUAGCGGUGAAAUGCGCAGAUAUCAGGAAGAACACCCGUGGCUAAGGCGGCUCUCUGGGCCGAUACUGACGCUGAGGAGCGAAAGCGUGGGGAGCGAACAGG